AAGUCGUAACAAGGUUUCCGUAGGUGAACCUGCGGAAGGAUCAUUAAAAGAUUUUUGGGUAAAUUUUUUGGGGUCUAUUGAUCUCAAAAAAUAAUGCAUUGUUAUUAAGAUAUACUUUGGUUAGAGCUUUGACAUUAGUCAACUUCUUGCUAACUCCAUCCUUUAAAGGUCAGUUGGCUAUGAAGCGUGCCUACCAAGGUUUUUUAUCAAACUCUUUGUAUUUUGUCUGACCUAAAUAAAUAAUAAUUAAAUCAUAACUUUCAACAACGGAUCUCUUGGCUCUC
rnacentral:misc_RNA from 1 species